AUGAGUUGCGAACGGGUGAGUAACGCGUAGGUAACCUGCGGGGGAUAACUAUUGGAAACGAUAGCUAAUACCGCAUAACAAUGGAUGACACAUGUCAUUUAUUUGAAAGGGGCAAUUGCUCCACUACAAGAUGGACCUGCGUUGUAUUAGCUAGUAGGUGAGGUAAUGGCUCACCUAGGCGACGAUACAUAGCCGACCUGAGAGGGUGAUCGGCCACACUGGGACUGAGACACGGCCCAGACUCCUACGGGAGGCAGCAGUAGGGAAUCUUCGGCAAUGGGGGCAACCCUGACCGAGCAACGCCGCGUGAGUGAAGAAGGUUUUCGGAUCGUAAAGCUCUGUUGUAAGUCAAGAACGGGUGUGAGAGUGGAAAGUUCACACUGUGACGGUAGCUUACCAGAAAGGGACGGCUAACUACGUGCCAGCAGCCGCGGUAAUACGUAGGUCCCGAGCGUUGUCCGGAUUUAUUGGGCGUAAAGCGAGCGCAGGCGGUUUGAUAAGUCUGAAGUUAAAGGCUGUGGCUCAACCAUAGUUCGCUUUGGAAACUGUCAAACUUGAGUGCAGAAGGGGAGAGUGGAAUUCCAUGUGUAGCGGUGAAAUGCGUAGAUAUAUGGAGGAACACCGGUGGCGAAAGCGGCUCUCUGGUCUGUAACUGACGCUGAGGCUCGAAAGCGUGGGGAGCGAACAGGAUUAGAUACCCUGGUAGUCCACGCCGUAAACGAUGAGUGCUAGGUGUUGGAUCCUUUCCGGGAUUCAGUGCCGCAGCUAACGCAUUAAGCACUCCGCCUGGGGAGUACGACCGCAAGGUUGAAACUCAAAGGAAUUGACGGGGGCCCGCACAAGCGGUGGAGCAUGUGGUUUAAUUCGAAGCAACGCGAAGAACCUUACCAGGUCUUGACAUCCCGAUGCUAUUUCUAGAGAUAGAAAGUUACUUCGGUACAUCGGUGACAGGUGGUGCAUGGUUGUCGUCAGCUCGUGUCGUGAGAUGUUGGGUUAAGUCCCGCAACGAGCGCAACCCCUAUUGUUAGUUGCCAUCAUUCAGUUGGGCACUCUAGCGAGACUGCCGGUAAUAAACCGGAGGAAGGUGGGGAUGACGUCAAAUCAUCAUGCCCCUUAUGACCUGGGCUACACACGUGCUACAAUGGUUGGUACAACGAGUUGCGAGUCGGUGACGGCGAGCUAAUCUCUUAAAGCCAAUCUCAGUUCGGAUUGUAGGCUGCAACUCGCCUACAUGAAGUCGGAAUCGCUAGUAAUCGCGGAUCAGCACGCCGCGGUGAAUACGUUCCCUUGUACACACCGC
rnacentral:rRNA from 1 species